GUCAUUUAAAGUGAAAUCCUGGCCUCAGAGGAGUUGGUGGGAAUUCUGAAGUGACUUCAGCAGGGGCCAUGGCUCCAUCUCUCACGUCCCCACAAGGGCACUGAGCGAGCGGAGGGGUGAGCGCUCGCGUGUAUCAAGUGCAGAAUAAAGCAGGGGGGUCAGGAGGAGGAAGUCAGGGCUCUGAACUGUGCAUUAAGCUGCUGCUGCCAAGGGACUCCUGCCAAGGAGAGGAAUAUGCACUUUACAUGCCCCAUGCACACAGUCUCUCCUUGCUCAGCGUCAAGGCCACAACGUACCGAGCGGUUUUGUGAGAAAGCAAAACACGUGUCAGGUUUCCUUGUUUACAGUCUGCCUCAUUCAGGAUCUGGAAUUCCUAAAGAGCAGUAAAACCCUACCAUGUGACUGAAGACUGAUUUCCAGGAAAAACGGAAGAGGUUCUAGGAAAGAUCUGCCUUUGUGAUGACCACUCCCAGAGCAAUCAAGCCUGAGGAAAUUUGUGUCUGAACUGAUGAAGCUCAGUUUUAUUCUCAGCUCCUCACUGGAAAUUUGAAAGUUUUUGUUCUACCUUCACUUUUUCCAUAGUGUUCCUAAUUAAAGAUCUGUGUGUUAAUUCCAUCUG